rnacentral:rRNA from 1 species
AACGAACGCUGGCGGCAGGCUUAACACAUGCAAGUCGAACGCAUCCUUCGGGGUGAGUGGCAGACGGGUGAGUAACGCGUGGGAACGUGCCCUUCAGUUCGGGAUAACCCAGGGAAACUUGGGCUAAUACCGGAUACGUGCGAGAGCAGAAAGAUUUAUCGCUGAAGGAUCGGCCCGCGUCUGAUUAGCUAGUUGGUGGGGUAAUGGCCCACCAAGGCGACGAUCAGUAGCUGGUCUGAGAGGAUGAUCAGCCAAAUUGGGACUGAAGCACGGCCCAAACUCCUACGGGAGGCAGCAGUGGGGAAUAUUGGACAAUGGGCGCAAGCCUGAUCCAGCCAUGCCGCGUGAGUGAUGAAGGCCUUAGGGUUGUAAAGCUCUUUCGUCCGGGACGAUAAUGACGGUACCGGAAGAAGAAGCCCCGGCUAACUUCGUGCCAGCCGCCGCCGUAA